GCAUCAGUUUGGUUUGCUUGCAAACCAAAGCUGGCGACCGGCGCACGGGUGAGUAACACGUAUCCAACCUGCCUCAUACUCGGGGAUAGCCUUUCGAAAGAAAGAUUAAUAUCCGAUAGCAUAUAUUUCCCGCAUGGGUUUUAUAUUAAAGAAAUUCGGUAUGAGAUGGGGAUGCGUUCCAUUAGUUUGUUGGGGGGGUAACGGCCCACCAAGACUACGAUGGAUAGGGGUUCUGAGAGGAAGGUCCCCCACAUUGGAACUGAGACACGGUCCAAACUCCUACGGGAGGCAGCAGUGAGGAAUAUUGGUCAAUGGACGCGAGUCUGAACCAGCCAAGUAGCGUGAAGGAUGACUGCCCUAUGGGUUGUAAACUUCUUUUAUAUGGGAAUAAAGUUGUCCACGUGUGGAUUUUUGUAUGUACCAUAUGAAUAAGGAUCGGCUAACUCCGUGCCAGCAGCCGCGGUAAUACGGAGGAUCCGAGCGUUAUCCGGAUUUAUUGGGUUUAAAGGGAGCGUAGGCGGAUUGUUAAGUCAGUUGUGAAAGUUUGCGGCUCAACCGUAAAAUUGCAGUUGAUACUGGCAGUCUUGAGUGCAGUAGAGGUGGGCGGAAUUCGUGGUGUAGCGGUGAAAUGCUUAGAUAUCACGAAGAACUCCGAUUGCGAAGGCAGCUCACUGGAGUGUAACUGACGCUGAUGCUCGAAAGUGUGGGUAUCAAACAGG
rnacentral:rRNA from 1 species